UACGUAGGUGGCAAGCGUUGUCCGGAUUUAUUGGGCGUAAAGCGCGCGCAGGCGGUCCUUUAAGUCUGAUGUGAAAUCUUGCGGCUCAACCGCAAGCGGUCAUUGGAAACUGGGGGGACUUGAGUACAGAAGAGGAAAGCGGAAUUCCACGUGUAGCGGUGAAAUGCGUAGAGAUGUGGAGGAACACCAGUGGCGAAGGCGGCUCUCUGGGACGGUACU
rnacentral:rRNA from 1 species